CUUUCCUCAAAGGGAUAUAAAAACCUCUGCACUGAAACAGUUUUGGAAAGUAGAUUGAGGCAGGCUUCCCAUCCGGCAAAUGCUGUUCCUGGACUGGAUCCACCACAGUGGAAGCUUGACAGCCACCUAUGAGGAAAGUGGACUUUGUGACACAUGAAAGAGACCCCUGGGCCUUGAAGCUACUAUGUGGCAGGGAAAUACUUCAUGUCUGCCAAAAGCCUUGGAAGUGCCUCUCAUGGCUGCUCUGUUGUUCUGCAUAAAGCAAGACGUGUAUUUGCAUGUCCUCCUGCUCUGGCUCCAGCAGAAACCACCUGAAGGAUUUUCUGAAUGGUCAGAUCCUCCUCCUAUAGCGCUAAUCAACACAGCAAUGCACAGAUUUUGCCUUUGGAGAGAUGUUCAAAUCAGGAGAUCCUAUGGAAAAUCUUCAGGACUGUUUGAAAUUCCCAUCUGUGGAGCUCUUGUGUCGAGCAGUCAAGUGCUUGCUUGUGCUGCUGUCCAGAAGUUCAGACAAUGACCUAUUUGACUGCCAGUCGACACCGCGUUAGUCGGCUGUCUCUCCGUUCCAGAGAGACUGGGGAGCUCCCGACCCAGCCUGGCCUGACUCUUUCAGGAGCCAGGGAGCUGAGGGAUGAUGCUGCCUGACUGGUGGUGCUGGGACUGACCAGCUCU
rnacentral:lncRNA from 1 species